CAAACAAACAAACAAAAUCACCUGACCUGGCCAAAAAAGAAGGAGGAGGAGGAAAGGGACCUCUCGCACCCGUGGAAAUCAUGAGUUUGACCUUGGGCGUGGGUGGUGUAAGGACAUGUUUGACAUCCAGAGGAGGGUUUGAGGGAUCCUUGGGUACAUGAGUCUGAGGUUCAAGGGGAGGGUCUGCCUAGAGUUAUGCUCUGGGCCAUUGCUGGCCUGGAGUCCCCUUCAAGCCGGGAGCCCGGCUGAGGGUGCCAGAGAGCAAGUACAGACAGGGAGGUCAGCGGGUGAAACUUCAACAGCAGUGUUCAGACGGCAGGAUCUUAGCUCUUGUUUUUGAGUGAAGAAGCGAAAUGAGGCAUGAUUAGAGUAGCUCAGUGCCGACUCAGUCUACGGAAGGCGGCAGUGGGAGCCGACACGAUGUGUGAAUAUGCAGGACUGCUCUGUGGUGAAAUAGCACGCCGGCAAAAAAGAUCUCCCGGUCUUCCAGUCGGCGUUACAGCUCACAGGGCUAAGGAAAGGCUGUGAUUUGUGCACCCUGCCACCUAGGAGCUGCAGAGAUUCUCUCCCCCUGCCCGGUGGCUGGCCCAGGACCGAGCAUCGGUUGCAGCACCCGAUGACCUUCUUUGCUUUACACUCAAUGUUGCCACAGAGCGUCCUGGAACCAUCAGAUAAGGGAGCUGUUCUCCGCUGAGCGGAGGAAGCUGGAGCAGAGGACGGAGUUGUGUGGUGUCGGAUGACUGCCCCCCAGUGUCCUGGAUCUGCGUCUGGAAGGACAAAUGUCUGACCUCCGCUGGCUCCCGGGGCCGCCCGCUGGCCCACAGCGCACCUGUGUCUAAACCACUCAAAGGCCCCUUCCCAGGAGACUUCCCCGCGGCUGGACACAGCCGGGCAUCAGGGGCCUGAUUAGCUGAGCAGUGAUCAAACAGCUCCAUGGGAUGAGGAGGAGCCGGGCUCACCUCAUGGAGUAAGGCCAAGACCCCAAUGGCCCUGGAGGUGAUGUGGUGGCAGCUGGGGCAGAAGCAGCUGGAGACCUCCACAAACAAGGGGUGCAGGUCCCUGGAGUCAGGAGAGUCUGAGUGCAUCUGGUUUGGGAGACUGUGGGGGCUCCGCACUCUGACAGCGGAAGGAACAUGGACCAAACCCCACCCAGGACUUUCCCUCAGAGGUCUGCUCUGCUCCACCUUUGCUUGAAGGUAAGAUUUUGGGAAAAUCUCCUCCCCCUCUGAACUCGAGGGUGCCCAUGUGUUUAUCUCCAGAUGCAGCUAAUAUCACUCAUGGAAUUACAGCCGACCCUUUAACAACAUGGGUUUGAAUUUUGAGGGUGCAGUAAUAUGCAGUUUCUUUUCUUCACGCAAAUGUGGGUAGCCGAGAGACAACAGAAUUCAAACUUGUCCACUGUUUUCAGGAAUUGAAGGGUGAGUUAGGAAGAGAAAAGUGCCCUUUCUGUGUAAUCUGACUAGAACGUUGUAAAGCUAUAAAACAAGGUGCUCUGUUAUCACCAAAGUGAGGAGAAAAUCCAGCGACUCCAGGUUCACCUCCCCCAUUGGUGACUCCAGGUUCACAUUGCGCACCAGAGGCACCAGGUUCAAUCUUCCCCACCAGAGACACCAGGCUCUUCAUCCCGACCGGUCACACCAGGUUCACCUUCCCCACCAGUGACUCAAGGCUCACCUUCCCCAUCCAGGUCCACCUCCCCCACUGGAGACACCAGGUCCACCUUCCCCAUCCAGGUUUACCUUCCUCACCUGGGACACCAGGUUCACCUCACUGCAGGUUCAACCUCCCCACUGGUGACUCUAGGCUUACCUUCCCCACUGGAGAUACCAGGCUCAACUUCCCCACCGGUGACAGCAGGCUCACCUUCCCCUCCAGUGACACCAGGUCCACCUUCCCCACCAGUGGCAUCAGUGACAUGGGGCCCCACUCCCCACUGUGACACUACUGACCACUUACCCACCAGUGUCACAGGCUUCCCUUUUCCACAGUUGGCCCAGGCCUUCCUUGCCCACUGCAGUGAAAUGGCAGAGCGCCCUGGGCAGCCCUUCCCAUCACUACUUCCCUAGGCUCCCCUUAGAGACCCUGCUAAGCGAUGGCCCCGCUCACAGAAGUGUCCCAGUCACUUGCCCGAGAUUCUUCCAUCCUUCCCAUGGAUGACCCUGACUCUAGAAGAGAGAACAUUGUGAGCUAGACAGUUCUGUCCAAGCCAUCCCCAGCAGGGGCUGAAUGUCCAGUCUAGCAUGUGGAGGGAAGUUAUUUAUCAGAGGACGGCACAGGCGGCUCAGUCUGUGUUGCUCUGUGGUUCUCGGCAUCAGGACCACGUGCCAAGAACCACAGAGCAACACAAAUGCCGAGGUCUUUGAGCUUCCUCACUUCCCCUGGGGGUGGGUGGUGUCUUAGUCUUUCCCAUCCACUUUGCAGCAGGGUCCGAUCCAAGUGGGAGGAACCUGAGGAUAAUCAAAACCCUCUACUGAUUCCCUGCAAACCCGGCCUUGACUCCUAGUCCCCCGGGCUGGUAUCCAAACCCUACUCUGCAUCAUUGCCUGAGGGUUUUCCUGGGUGUCUCGGGAGCUUGUGCACGUGUGCAGGUGACCCAGAAGUACCAGCUGUGUAAUGCACCAAAGACAUCCUCAGCCAAGGAGUCAUGAGGGAGUAGAUAACUCCAGAAUCCCAUCUUAUGGUAGGAUGAUUUGGGGCAGAGUCCAGGUCACGACUUGGAAGGUCUCCCAGGGACUGAGCCCAGUUGCCCCAGCAGUGACCUGUUCCUGAGUGUACCCUUUGUGGCAUCCUUUCCAUCCCUGUCUUGCAUUUCCUCUUCCUGCUUGGGCUUCCCAGAUCACCGCCCAAGUAAACCACCUGCUCUUGAGUCCUUGUUGUAGCAUCUGCUUUGGGGGACACCUAAACCAAGAUGAAAGCUAGGUCUGGGGCUCUGGAGAAGGCAUGUAGUCAGUGUCCAAUCAGUGUUAGCAAUUAUUGCCAUCACUGCAUUCUGGAAAUGCCUUAUAUCGUAACAUGGUUAGUUUCAUAACAUGGUUGUAGAAAAUUCCAAAGAAAUGUAAGGACCUGAUUCCUGGAUGGAUUUUAUACUUAAACUGUGCUUGUACCUGUCUAAUGCUUAAUUCUCCAAGAUCUGAGAGACCUCACUCUCCUUGUGUAAACCACCUGCCACCUGUCGCUAUGAGUCACUGCCCCAUGGCUCGUGUGGGAUGUGGUUAAUGUUGUGGCACCAUGACAACAGCACAUCUCGGUCAUGCUCAGUGGAAAAGCCUUCGAGGUGGAACAAUGCCCGACUCACAGUCAGCAUGGGGGGCUCCCCAGUUAGUGUCCAUGAUGUCGUUCCGUGGUUUUGUUCCCAGGAGAGGUACACAGAGAUGCUUAUAGCCUUGUUAUUGCAGAGCUAACUUUUAUUGAGUGCUUGCUUCUCAGGCAGCUAAAGUGCUGAAGGCCUUCAUGAAGAUUAUCUCUUAAUUCUCACAAUCCUUCCCUAGCGUUUAGUAGAAGAGGAAAGCAAGGCUUAGGGAAGCCAAAUACAUUGCUUACUGAAUUCAAGUUUCCAACGAAACCUCUUUCUCCUGGUUCCGUCCCCACAGUCUUUGGUUCCCACUGACGUCUAACACACAUUGGCAUUCGCACACACACACAGACAUCCUCACUUUCUCUCUCACAUCCCUUUAGACACUAAGAAGGGAGUUUUUGGCUUACAACGGUUAUGUUCUGAAUUAUUCCCACUUUCAUUCUUGAGUCAUGCUGCUUGAUUUUGGAGAUGUUAUACCAGAAUUCAGUGGAACUUGGGGGCAAGAAAAUAACACAAGGGCAGUGAGACAUGCCAUCCUAGCAGAGCGCCAAGGACAGGGUGAGCAAGGGGCUGCCCUGGUGCAGGCUAGAAGGGGGUUCAUCAUCUGUGGGGGAUUUUAAAACAAUAAUAAAACCAAGCACCAAUGAGCCUGCUCUUUAUUGUCACUGCACACUAGGAAUUCCUCACAAUGUCAAUCAUGACAUACUCUUUUCCCCCAGAAUCUUUUCUGGUGAGAAUUCUGAACAACUGCUGCAGUUACCCAAGCUUCAGCAAUCGGUACAUGAGCUCCAAGUGAGCACGUAGUCAGUCCUGAUCGUUUAAUAAACACCGUGUCAGUUCAGAGAACUCCCAGCAAUACGGUCACGUCUGACACACAUGGACUGAGCUUCCACAGGUGCAUCGUGAGAGACGUUUAUCAGGGCCCUGGAUCAUUCGAGCUCGCUCCAGGCACUGCUGGGGUCCUCAGCCCUAUGGAGCGACACAUUCUUGUUCCUGCAUGGAGGCAGCAGCAGCGACCGCACAGUGAAGGUAAAGAUGAAGAAACACGUUGGAGUUCCUUCAGUGUGACUUGGAAUCUGCGUUUGUGUUUAAAAUUCCAGACAGUGACAUAGGGUUAGAACUGUGAGGUGCACCAUUUUUAUUGGGUAAGUUCAGAUUUCAGCUCAUGCAUAUUUGUUUCAUGUCGUGAUUGUUACUAACAAUAAUUUUGUCUUAUAGAAGAGAGGAGUCUUGGCAGUGAUCUGCUCAGGGUGUCAAAUAUGCGAGGUCUGUCGGCUACAUCACACUAUAACUGGGGCAGAAAUUCAGGCUCUUUUUGGGUUUUGUUUUUGCAUACAGUUGUCCUACACCUGAAAAGCAGAUGGUAUAUUACACAUACUGUUACGUUUUCUCUUGCCAAGGUGCAGAUGUCCUUUGUGUGUUGUUCAACCCUCACAAUGUGUACUUUAUGGAAAGCGUACAUCCCAGUCAAGCCCAUAGGAAAGGCAUUACCCAUUGACCUUUCUGAAAUAUUCUGCCCCCGUGAUUCUAGCAAUACCAGAAUGACUGCUUGAGAAUCUCUAGCCUGGCAUCUCCAGGCCCCUGGCUUUCCUCUGUGCUGGAGACCAUAGUGCUCCACAGGAUACUCCUUUAUGGCUGGCACCCACAUCCCCCUCCUGAUGGAGCAAUGAUGCUGGAGUCUGUAGCUGAACCCUCCCCGGGGGUCUGUCCUCAGCCAGGGUCUACUCCAUCCUUGAGCUGCCCCCAUCCAAUGGCUGGUUUAGGAGGUGCACGAAGGUCUAGCUUGGUGCAUUAGGACAAGCAUGAAGUACCCCCAGCUGAGCCUUUCCUUGGGCCUCUACACCUCAAAUUCUCCUGCUGUCCAGUCCUGCCUCCUUACUCCCUACGGGGAUUGACCCUGGGGGCACUCCCAGUCUACUGCCUAUGCACAAGUCAGGGGCUGUUCCUGGAAACUCUGUUAUGACACAUCCCUUCUCCCCAAACCUACACCUUGCGUAGAUUUGGCUUUCUGGCCAGUGCCCUCUUCCCCAAAUGCACCUGUAGGUCCCCAUCUUGGUCCCUGUAGCAAUCAGUGUUGUGCAUUAAGUGUGUCCUUCUGGGCUUGUGGGAGGCUUUUGUUCCUGGCCCCUGUGUCUGAUAAGCUGGGGACACAUAUAACAUGUGUCAGUUCCAAGCGAACUGUUGGUUACAGCAGCACCAUACUGAACAUCUGACUGAUACAGCUCCUUUGGGUUAGAACCUCCCUCCCUGCAUUUUCUGGCCAGUUUUACCUUCCAAAUUCUGGACAAAAUGCAGCCAUCUCUGUAGACCUCAGAAUCCAGUUGGGAUCCAGUGUUCAUCUUUGUUCUCUUGAAGUCCAUCUUCCCCGGGAGACCGACAAUGUCUUCAGGAUAGAAAGUGCAUCUUAGUGACCCUCCAUCCCUCACAAGGCCUUGGUCUGAGUAGAGAGGUAAUGCUUGCUGAGAGGACGGGGGCUCACGAGGACCUGAGUGAGGUGCCCAGGAUAGAUGAUGAAUAGGCACUGGUGAUGUCAGUGUGCCAAUAGGAGAGCCAUUCCUGACACCGAUGCUAAAUAUCACACGUCACGUUCCUUUCAUCAGCCAUAGAGCAAAAUCCCUGCACUCUCACUCACCCACUGAACACCCCACAUUCUUAGAUAAAAGAAUGAUUUAAGUGGGUCUGCAGUAUUCUGUAACAUAUUGUUCUCGGCACCAUAUGCUUAAUACUGAUAGCCGGUGUUUGCUCGCAGUUACUUCUGCAGGCUCAUGUGUUGAGCAAACAUCAGUAUCCUGGGGCCCAAAUACUGCUGAAAGCAACUGAAAAUAUGGCAAUGACUACCAUGAAUAUCAGUCCUAAUGAACUUCCCAUUGUAUCCAGAGUACCAAUACUGUCAUUUCAGCGGCUCGGCGUGGGUCUCAAAGGGCACAUCUACUAUCCCUGCCCUCUGCAGAGGCUCAGGGAGGUUGACCGCCUGUAGGGGAACCACGGCUGGAAUGGGACACCCGCUGUGGGAUUCUCACAGAGCAGCGUCCUGCUGCGGGGUAAUCGCCCUUUCCUGCCUCUCUUGCCGCUCUUCUGCCUCUGCCAUUACUGGUCCUGUUGUCUGACUCACUUACAGUAUUUCGAGGAGGACCCUGAGGGCUUCCUUCUUCAUUCUGUUCCUGAAUUAUUUCCCCCAAAUUAUUUCAGAUUAUGUAUUUACUUUUAAUUAUCUUUAUAUUGAUCAUUUGUUCUCAAACUCUGUUAUAUUGAUUUAUUUUAGCCUUGGUAUUUUUAUAACACCACUUAAGCCUCAGCUGUCUGGCCAGUUAAAUGAAAUGAAUCAUAUCAAGCAAGCACACGCUGAUCUGUAGGUCUGCCUCCUCACACACCUGCCGUGGGGCAAGAAUUGGGUUCCAGCCCCUGAUCGGCACAGGAGUGCACAAGCGGUCUCCCAUGCAGGCAGCUUCUGUGACUUCACAAUCAAAGAUGUUUCCGAGGCUGAAGAUUCUCCCUUGACCUCAGCAUCCUCCUUCACCUACUGCAGGGGCGACUACUGCCCAGUACAGGAGCUGGAGGAGAUCCUGCAGGCAAAGAAGAGAGACAAGUGCAGUCCCAUGAGAUCCGGAAUGCUUAUGGUCUACCCCAAAGUCAAUCAACACCAAUUCUGGUUUGGAAAUCAACGCAUCUGCACUCUGAGUUGCAUUGGAUCCUGGCGGACCAGAGCUCUGCACGCUUUCUACUCUCCAGCCUGUGUGCAGAAGUUGUAAUACGAAAAAUGACAUUCUCCAAACUCCCUUGCAGCUAGAUUCUGGGCCUGAUUUUAUUUGAUUUUGACUAGGUGCACGUCCUUGCCAUUUACAGGACAGAAGGGAGUGGGGGCUGCGCGUUGCCGUGUCUGCCGUUUCCAUCGUGAAGCACAGUGGAGAGGUCCUGGUUUUCUGCAGCAGUUUUAGCAAGAGGUCCUGAUUUCUGGGCAGUGGCUCUGUGAGUGUGAAGAGCAGGGCUUGGAGCAGUCGUUUUACUUGUGAGCAAGUUGCAGCCACUCAUAGUUCUGGGCCUCUUUUUGAUCCCUAGCUCCUAAGCACUUCCUGAAUGACAUAGUGAAACUGAGCAUCUUUGUCUUAUUCCUGCAAGGCCUGGACCUGCUGCCCUGGAUGAAGCCCAGCCUCAGGGGUGAGGCUGCCCGACAAGCUCCCGACUCAGAGGGAUCCACAGCUUUAGUUGUCAUUGAUGUCGCUGUUGGCCCAGGAGUGAGCUGGUACCACCUAAUACCCCUCAAGAGGAGACCUAGCCUCCUGCAUGAGAAUGGAGCAUUCCUGGGAGAUAGCGUCUCCCUGAACACAGACGGGACCUGGCAGCGAGGACCACAGGGCCUGACCCCUGUGAGCCAAUGCCUCCAGAACCUGAGACUUCCAGUCAUUGUCCAUUGAGGGAUGGACUGACUCACAUCUCAAAAUUCAACCAGAUUUCCAGUUGGAGGCCAGGGGAAUCUGGAAACAUUAAUUGCCUCCUCCAUUAAACAGAUGCAUUUACUUUUGUGUUUAUUGAAUUAAUUUACAAAAUGCUGCUGUCUUGAGGGAAGCAUUCCCUGGAGCUUGCAAAUACCAGCUAAUACCACGUAGUUAAUAUGCACUCAACAGAAGCAGUAAUGUCAGGGUUAUAUUAGCACCAACCAAAGAAUACAAACAUCCAGACUUUUGAAAUCUCCAACCUCCAAGACCUCCGUGAUUUACUGUCUUUUAGGGUUCAAUCUAGAUAGGGAAAUUGGAUUUCCUGUCAGAAGUUUCUGUGCAGCACAUUCCUGAACUUCCUUGAAUGGUUUGACGUCUUUCUGAGGUUUCUGGCGUCAGCCUCUAGGGCCGACUGCUACCACCUUGAAUCCAAGGGGAUUGUUUUGGAGGAGAAGAAGGGGAACCUAGUUGCAUCUUCCUGGUAGUGGGACAAGUUAGUCUAAUGUGUUUUUCACAGUCUUCUAGAUGGGAGAAACGCCUGUGGAGCCCAGCAUCCAGGUGUUUCUGAAAUUGCUUCCAGUGAAUGAAGGCAUUUGCCUGCCUCCACCAUCCCAAUCAUGCCUACCCACUCUUUCCUCUUCUGAUGAGAUCUUUCAGCAAAUCAAGGCUGGGGCUUGGCUGCCAAGAGGACAACAGAAAAACAUGUUGGUGUGGCGGUUGUCGUUUACAACAUGAAGACUCCGGAUUAUCCAGAACAAUGGGAACCCCCAAGAGCAUGUGGGCUUUUGCAGAGGAGGAUCCAAAGAUUCUUCUAGAAUGUAUUCAAAAGGACAAGGAGAUCAGAGAGAUCAAAGACCUGAGGGGCAGUCCUUGGUCCCAGGGUCCUAGGAGGAGAGAACCCCAGGAAGAGGAGGGAACGUCGCAGAGCCAAGAAACAGGUUCCCAACUUGCAAACUUUUAAAAGUUAUAAUCCAGCAAUUUAAAAGUUAUUAUUAAUACACUUGAUUCAUGAAAAACUGACUUUUUCCUGAGGAAGAAAUUCAAUUUACCUCUUAGAAACUCUUUUUUUAAAAAAAAUCCUCCCUAGACAAAAAGAAAAACCAAUUCAAAACUUCCACUUCCUCAUUUCUUUGCAGAAUCUCAAGUGCCCUUAAGGAAAACACACACACACACACACACACACACACACACACACACACACACACAGACCUAGUUAAAAACAACAGGUAUUUUCACACUGGUGCUGUGACCUAUUUCUGGAUCAGAAACUGGAUUGCAGGUCCACAAAGCCAUCUCCCCACCUGGUGUUUGUUCUGCACAGCGGUUAGGAAAGUACAGCCUCAGGGUCUAACAGAAAAUGCAUCUCUUCUUCUUUUUUAUGAUCGAAUGCCAUGAAUUUACUAAUUUAUAGCAUUUACUUUUGUAUUACAUACAGAGGCCAAGAUUGGAGCUUAGCCCAAUCUUUUCUGGAAAUGGUUCUUUUGAAAUCAGCAAGUCUACUUAAAUAAAAGAAAUAUUCCUCUGCC